rnacentral:rRNA from 1 species
GGAUUAGGCAUGCAAGUCGCACGAGAAAGGUUUCUUCGGAAGCCGAGUACAGUGGCGAACGGGUGAGUAAUGCAUAGACAACUCGCCCUUGAGAUGGGGACAACGCCUCGAAAGGGGUGCUAAUACCCAAUGCCGCCUUGGGCCUGCGGGUCCAGGGUGAAAGGAGGCCUCUGAUUCAAGCUUCCGCUCAAGGAGAGGUUUAUGUCCUAUUAGCUAGUUGGCGGGGUAACGGCCCACCAAGGCUGCGAUGGGUAGCCGACCUGAGAGGGUGACCGGCCACAUUGGGACUGAGACACUGCCCAGACUCCUACGGGAGGCUGCAGUCGAGAAUCUUCCGCAAUGCGCGCAAGCGUGACGGAGCGACGCCGCGUGGGUGAUGAAGGCCUUCGGGUUGUAAAACCCUGUCAGCUACUACGAAACACGGGCGAUGAACAAUCGUCCCGUCUGACUCAAGUAGCAGAGGAAGCACCGGCUAACUACGUGCCAGCAGCCGCGGUAAUACGUAGGGUGCAAACGUUGUUCGGAAUCACUGGGCAUAAAGGGCGCGUAGGCGGUCUGAUAAGUCAGGUGUGAAAUCCCUCGGCCUAACCGAGGAACUGCAUUUGAUACUGUCGGGCUAGAGUACAGGAGGGGAGAGUGGAAUUCCUGGUGGAGCGGUGAAAUGCGUAGAUAUCAGAGGAACGCCGGCGGCGAAAGCGACUCUCUGGCCUGUUACUGACGCUGAGGCGCGAAAGCUAGGGGAGCAAACGGGAUUAGAUACCCCGGUAGUCCUAGCCCUAAACGAUGGGCACUAAGUAGAGGGGUUUU